UUCCUACGGGGGGCAGCAGUGGGGGAUAUUGCACAAUGGGGGGAACCCUGAUGCAGCGACGCCGCGUGGGUGAAGAAGCGCCUCGGCGCGUAAAGCCCUGUCAGCAGGGAAGAAAAUGACGGUACCUGAAGAAGAGGCCCCGGCUAACUACGUGCCAGCAGCCGCGGUAAUACGUAGGGAGCAAGCGUUGUCCGGAAUUACUGGGUGUAAAGGGAGCGUAGGCGGGGAUGCAAGUUGGGUGUCAAAACUACCGGCUCAACCGAUAGUCGCACUCAAAACUGCAGAUCUUGAGUGAAGUAGAGGCA
rnacentral:rRNA from 1 species